rnacentral:rRNA from 1 species
GAGUUUGAUCAUGGCUCAGAACGUACGCUGGCGGCACGCCUAACACAUGCAAGUCGAACGAAGUAGCAAUACUUAGUGGCAGACGGGUGAGUAACAUGUGGGUAUCUGCCCUUUGGCCUGGAAUAACACGAGGAAACUUGUGCUAAUACCGGAUAAGUCUUUACGGAGAAAGCUUUAUGCACCAUUGGAUGAGCCCGCACUUGAUUAGUUUGUUGGUGGGGUAAUGGCCUACCAAGACUGUGAUCAAUAGCUGAUUUGAGAGGAUGAUCAGCCACAUUGGGACUGAGACACGGCCCAAACUCCUACGGGAGGCAGCAGUGGGGAAUCUUGCACAAUGGAGGAAACUCUGAUGCAGCGAUGCCGCGUGAGUGAAGAAGGCCCUUGGGUUGUAAAGCUCUUUCGUCGGGGAAGAAAAUGACUGUACCCGAAUAAGAAGGUCCGGCUAACUUCGUGCCAGCAGCCGCGGUAAUACGAAGGGACCUAGCGUAGUUCGGAAUUACUGGGCUUAAAGAGUUCGUAGGUGGUUGAAAAAGUUAGUGGUGAAAUCCCAGAGCUUAACUCUGGAACUGCCAUUAAAACUUUUCAGCUAGAGUAUGAUAGAGGAAAGCAGAAUUUCUAGUGUAGAGGUGAAAUUCGUAGAUAUUAGAAAGAAUACCAAUUGCGAAGGCAGCUUUCUGGAUCAUUACUGACACUGAGGAACGAAAGCAUGGGUAGCGAAGAGGAUUA